rnacentral:rRNA from 1 species
AUUGAACGCUGGCGGCAUGCCUUACACAUGCAAGUCGAACGGAAGAACGGGUGCUUGCACCUGGUGGCGAGUGGCGAACGGGUGAGGAAUACAUAGGAACGUACCUUAUAGUGGGGGAUAACAAAUUGAGAAAUUUGCUAAUAUCGCAUAAUACUCAGCGGAGGAAAGCGGGGGAUUCGUAAGAACCUCGUGAGAUUAGAGCGGCCGAUGGCUGAUUAGCUAGUCGGUGAGGUAAAGGCCCAACAAUGCAAAGAUCAGUAGCAGGUCUGAGAGGAUGAUCUGCACACUGGAACUGAGAAACGGUCCAGACUCCUACGGGAGGCAGCAGUGGGGAAUUUUGGACAAUGGGGGCAACCCUGAUCCAGCAAUGCCGCGUGAGUGAAGAAGGCCUUCGGGUUGUAAAGCUCUUUUGUCAGUGAAGAAAACUUUAAUAAUAACACUAUUAAAGCAUGACGGUAACUGAAGAAUAAGGACCAGCUAACUACGUGCCAGCCGCCGCAGUAA